GUCCACGCCGUAAACGAUGAUGACUGGACCGGUGCGGGUCUUACCCCGUAUCGGUCGAAGCGAAAGCGUUAAGUCAUCCGCCUGGGAAGUACGGUCGCAAGACUAAAACUCAAAUGAAUUGACGGGGCUCACACAAGCGGUGGAGCAUGUUGCUUAAUUCGAGGCAACGCGAAGAACCUUACCUGGGUUUGACAUGUACGUAUUAACUCUAUGAAAGUAGAGCCACAGUCGCAAGACCGGAACGUGCACAGGUGCUGCAUGGCUGUCGU
rnacentral:rRNA from 1 species